UACGAAGGGGGCUAGCGUUGCUCGGAUUGACUGGGCGUAAAGGGCGCGUAGGCGGUUCGUACAGUCAGACGUGAAAUUCCUGGGCUCAACCUGGGGGCUGCGUUUGAUACGUGCGGGCUUGAGUGCGGAAGAGGGUCGUGGAAUUCCCAGUGUAGAGGUGAAAUUCGUAGAUAUUGGGAAGAACACCGGUGGCGAAGGCGGCGACCUGGUCCUUGACUGACGCUGAGGCGCGAAAGCGUGGGGAGCAAACAGG
rnacentral:rRNA from 1 species